rnacentral:rRNA from 1 species
AUGCCGAGAAACUCGAGGCCACCAACGGCGUCGUGCCCUCCGGCAGACUCAACUCCUAGGGCCGGCGCCGGUGGUGGGGUGUGUCCGGCCGCACGUUGGAGGCUGUCCUCGAGUACAUCGAGGACGGCAACACGCCGCGCCUCGAGUACCCCGCUCCCCCGUUCUUCUCACGCCGCCGUGGGAGCUCCUGGACGCCGAGGCGCAUGGAGCGGCCUGGGGCGUCCUCCUCCUCGUCCGGCCGCUCGUCGGGCUCUCCCUGCCUCUGCCCCGUCAAGCCGGAGCCCUAGGACACGCCUGUCAGCGCGCGCACCCGCAGCUCCGGCGUCCGCAUCGGCGACUCCACCCCCCUCCCCCCUACGGCCGCUUCAUCCUCGUCGAGCCCAAGCCGGAGCCCGGCCUCCCCGCGAAGUACGAGGAGAUAGCCCGGCGUGGCUUCUCCGACGAGGACGCCCUGCAGUGGGCUCGGGACGACUACCUCCGCAACGAGAUGGUCCGGCAGCGCCGGGCCCUGGAGGAGAUCGCCGCCCGCAAGCGUGGGCGCGAGGACGAGCACGGCAUCGUGAUCCUCGACAGCGACGACGAUGA